rnacentral:lncRNA from 1 species
UCCCCUUCCCCUUCUGCCAUGAUUCUAAGUUUCCUGAGGCCUUCCUAGAAGCCGAGCAGAUGCCAGCAUCAUGCUCCCUGUACGGGCUAUGGAACCAUGGCUGUACCGCAGUUCAGGUCUUUGUGACUCAUCUGGAUGCUGUCGAAGAGACAGAGCUGGACACCGGUUAAAAGUGGCAUUCAAAGCUAUGCCUUUUCCUCUCAGCACUGCUUUAGCUGCAUCCCACAGCAUUUUUUCAGCUUUAAAAUAUUCUAACAACCCACAUUCCAAGAUUCACAUCUAUCCCAAGGUUCCCUGGCUCCUAAAUGGCUCAUGCAAAUCUUGAAGGAGUCUCUACUUUUUGAGGAGGAAAACAGCUCUUUAAUCUGGACUCCACGAUGUUGUUGAAAACACGCUUGCAGUUACCUAUUGCUGAGUAACAAACUGUCCUAGAACUCAGAGACUGAGAACAAUGAUGAUGAUUUCUCAUGACUCUAUGGUUGGCUGAGCUCAGCUGGGCAGUUCUUCUGUUCCGUGUGGUGUAGGCUGAAGUCCCUCAUUGGAAGGUGAGAGAGCUGGGGCAUUUAUCCACCAACUUUUGUCAGUUACUAGUUGAGAGCUGCUCUCAGGGGCAUUCAUUCUGUGGCCUACAGGUGGCAAAGCAGGUCUCAACAGCAAACAAAAGACCCCAGUUUUGGCACUUGGGAAGCAGUCUGGUUUGCAGACUGUGAAGAGGUAAGGGCAAGGGGGCAUGGCUAGAAUUCCUGUGCAAUUAGUAAAAACCAGAUGGAAAAUGCAGCAUGGUUAUUGUGGCAGAGACU